AUGACAAGUAGAUAUUUUAUUUAAAAUUGAAAGCCCUUUCUGAAAUUGCAUAGGUAUAAUUUUGCAAGCAAUGGAUGAUUAGGAUUUCCAGAUGAGUCAUUGCUUAUGAUCAACGUCAUCAAGUGAGGACUGCUAAAUCCUGUUGGUUAAUUGAUUUUUAGAGUUAUGCCCAAGGUCAUUGGAUCUCACCACAGAAUACAAAGAUUCUAAUGAUUAAGCUCUCUGCACCCCUAACAUCCUCUCCUCUCUCCCCUUGGACCUUCAGUUUCCUUCCACCCUCUCCUCUCUCCCCUUGGACCUUCAGUUUCCUUCCACCCUCUCCUCUCUCCCCUUGGACCUUCAGUUUCCUUCCACCCUCUCCUCUCUCCCCUUGGAUCUUCAGUUUCCUUCGGGAUUUUUAGGAAUCAGGACUACCACUUACUCAGUCACUGGGCUAGUAGCCUCAAUAAGAUGGCCUGAGUGUCUCAGCACUCUCAGAAAGUCAAGAUCAAAUUGGGAUCCAGGUAAGAUGGAUCUGAAGUUAAAGAGGUUUUAUGACCCUAGUUGGCCCCUGGAAUCCGCAUGGUGGAAGGAGAAAAUCGACCCCUGACAGGUGUCCUCUGAUCUCCACAUGUGCAUCUACUGGAUAUGAGUGUGUCCACCCUAGUCAAUCAAACAAACAUAAAUCAAAUACAUAAAUAUAAAAAAAUCAAACCUUCAUUCCAAGCUCAUCCUUUGGAGUGUUUCAGAAAAGGUAAAGCUUACUUAAAACUUUCAACUCAGGGAUCAUGCUGGGAAGCACUGCUACUUGCAUUCUCUGCUAUGAGCAUCUUUAAAUGCAUAUCUUGUCCCUAUUCUGCAAUCAUUUAGGUCUCUAAAAUCUCAGGUUCAGAUUUUUAAGAGUCUCUCAAAUAAUGUAGCCCAUAUUUUAAAAUCUUACAAUCCUCAUGUCCUUCUAAAUAAGAAGAAAACCUAUUCCUAAGGCUGCGUUCCUUACCAUAGUCAUAAACGAAUGCUAACAUUAAUGAUUCAGUACUCUGGUGUAAGGGCACAUUUUAAUGCCCUUCAGGUUCUGCUGCAGAAGCCAUUCAAACUCUCAGCAGCUUAUAACCACAGCAUCUUCUUCUGAUCUACACCACAUGAUCGUCAGUGGCUGUGGUUCUGCCCCAUGCAGCGGCCCUGACAAUGCAUUUGUCUUGACAUCCCCCAGAUUUGGGUUGAAAGAAGCUCCUAUUUGCUUCAUGCUGUUUUCAGAAAGAGAACAGAGGUGGAAAUGGCUCCAGCAAAUUGUGAGCCUAUAAAUAAAACUGUAGCAUAUCAUAUCAAAGAGCUGAGUGAAAAAUUAAGGUGUUUAAUAAAAUCCACUAUAUUCAUUUUCAAUUCUAACAAAACUUUAGUUUUAACUUACUUUCCAAGGAUUUCCUAAACUUAUUCAUAUGAGUUUUAUUUAAAUUCUGUGGAUUAACCAUCAUAUCCCACCUGAAUGAGAAGAAAGUGCACCUUAGUGGGGUUUAUAAUAAAAAAUAUUGACAAGGUGAUAAAAGGACAGUAUUCAAACAUGCUAUAUGAUUAUACCUGUUAAAAUUCCAUUUAUUUUUUUCCUUUUAUUAAAGUUGGCUUUUACAGCUUCUCCCUCUGUUCCUCACGGCCCUUCUCCAUCUCCCUGACUGGAUCCACCACCUUUCUGCCUUUCUUUAGAAAACAAAUAGGCUUCUAAGAGAUUGAGAGAGCUUCUGGGUGGGGCUUGUGUCCACUUCAUCUUCCAGCUCUAGUGCAGACUCACACAGGCCCCGUGCCUGCUGCCAAUCUCUUGUGAGUUCAUAUGUGCAUCAGUCCUCAUGCUUUAGAGUCUUGAUUUCUUGGUGUCUUCAUCCACUCUGGUUUUUACAUCCUUUUAACUCUUCUACCUGAGGGUUCCUGCGGGGAGCAAUUUGAUGGAGAUGUCCUAAAUUCAGGAAGGAGUGUUCCAAGGUCUCUUAUUCUCUGUAUAAUGUCUGGCUGAGUUUCUAUAUCUGUUCCCAUCUGUACAGGAAAAAGCCUCUCUGAUCAUGGCUGAGAAAGGUACUGAUCUAUGGGUGUAGCUCAAUGUCCUUAGGAGCCAUUUUAUUACUGUGCUCUUUUAGCAGAUCAGUUCUAUUUGGUUUACCCUAGAUCCAAGCUGGCUGUCUAGUCUCAAGUUCUUACUCACCCAAGUAGUAUUAGGUAAGGGUUCCAUCUUGUGGAGUGGGCCUAAAGUUACAUCAGAUAUUGGUUGGUCACUCCCACAAGCUUUGUGCCACCACUGCACUAGCUUCUCCUGCAGGCUUCACACCAUUGUAGAUCAAAGGGUUUGUGGUUGAUUGGUGUUUAUGUUUCUCCCUUUGGAGUGUGCAGACUACCUUCUUGUACCAAAGACAUUAGAAUGUAGGGGUGAAGUCUCUAUGUGGGUACCAGCUCAACUUCUCCAUGUUCAAUGAGUUCUGUAGGUGUUGUCUGCUUUGGGGGCUUUUCAGUCAGUCUGUGGAGAGCAAAAUGUUUAAGUAUUAAAAGUUGGCACUUAGGAAUGAGGAUGGGCUAGAAGUCCACAAAUGGGAAGAAAACAGUAUAUAGCAUCAAAAUCUGCUUGUCCCCUGAGAACAGCAUUCAAGAGUGAGUAGGAGAGGCCACAAUAGUCUGCUACAGAUCUGGGGAUGAAACUGGAAAACUGCAUAUGGAGACGAGAAGGAAGAGUGACGAUCCUAAGCUCUCCUCCCUGCUGCCCUGGCAGCCUUGUCUGCAGGUUCCCAGGGAAGCUGGGAUAAAUCAAUGAGUGAGGGGAAGGAAGUUUGAUUUAUGUAUGUGCGACUAAAGAUGGGGGCAGCAGGGAGGGGAGGUUCCUGUGGGUGGUCUGCUACAGAGCUGGGGACCAGACAGUGGGACUGGAUUCAGAGAGGAAAGAGAGGUGAAGAUUGAAGUUAUGCUGGCUGUCUGCUUCCCUAUAAUUAUAUUAUAAAAGUAAUUUGUUUUUAAGGAGAAUUUAGUUUCAGAGUGAAAACAUGUGUUUUCCUACGGCUUUCUAGGAACGCUAGUGAAGCCAAAGACCUUGGAGCAGAACCUGCAGUCAGUACUUUACUAAACCAGCACAAUUCCUAACAGCAGU
ensembl:lincRNA A930003O13Rik RIKEN cDNA A930003O13 gene